CGCAAGCCUGAUGCAGCAACGCCGCGUGAGGGACGACGGCCUUCGGGUUGUAAACCUCUUUUAGCAGGGAAGAAGCGAAAGUGACGGUACCUGCAGAAAAAGCACCGGCUAACUACGUGCCAGCAGCCGCGGUAAUACGUAGGGUGCAAGCGUUAUCCGGAAUUAUUGGGCGUAAAGAGCUCGUAGGCGGUUUGUCGCGUCUGCUGUGAAAACCCGAGGCUCAACCUCGGGCCUGCAGUGGGUACGGGCAGACUAGAGUGCGGUAGGGGAGAUUGGAAUUCCUGGUGUAGCGGUGGAAUGCGCAGAUAUCAGGAGGAACACCGAUGGCGAAGGCAGAUCUCUGGGCCGUAACUGACGCUGAGGAGCGAAAGCGUGGGGAGCGAACAGGAUUAGAUACCCUGGUAGUCCACGCCGUAAACGUUGGGAACUAGAUGUGGGGGCCAUUCCACGGCUUCCGUGUCGCAGCUAACGCAUUAAGUUCCCCGCCUGGGGAGUACGGCCGCAAGGCUA
rnacentral:rRNA from 1 species